rnacentral:sRNA from 2 species
GGAAGAUCAUUACCGAGUGCGGGCCCUCGCGGCCCAACCUCCCACCCUUGUCUCUCUACACCUGUUGCUUUGGCGGGCCCACCGGGGCCACCUGGUCGCCGGGGGACGCACGUCCCCGGGCCCGCGCCCGCCGAAGCGCUCUGUGAACCCUGAUGAAGAUGGGCUGUCUGAGUACGAUGAAAAUUGUCAAAACUUUCAACAAUGGAUCUCUUGGUUCCGGCAUCGAUGAAGAACGCAGCGAAAUGCGAUAAGUAAUGUGAAUUGCAGAAUUCCGUGAAUCAUCGAAUCUUUGAACGCACAUUGCGCCCCCUGGCAUUCCGGGGGGCAUGCCUGUCCGAGCGUCAUUUCUGCCCUCAAGCACGGCUUGUGUGUUGGGUGUGGUCCCCCCGGGGACCUGCCCGAAAGGCAGCGGCGACGUCCGUCUGGUCCUCGAGCGUAUGGGGCUCUGUCACUCGCUCGGGAAGGACCUGCGGGGGUUGGUCACCACCAUAUUUUACCACGGUUGACCUCGGAUCAGGUAGGAGUUACCCGCUGAACUUAAGCAUAUCAAUAAGCGGAGGAAAAGAAACCAACCGGGAUUGCCUCAGUAACGGCGAGUGAAGCGGCAAGAGCUCAAAUUUGAAAUCUGGCCCCCUUGGGGUCCGAGUUGUAAUUUGCAGAGGAUGCUUCGGGUGCGGUCCCCGUCUAAGUGCCCUGGAACGGGCCGUCAUAGAGGGUGAGAAUCCCGUCUGGGAUGGGCGGCCGCGCCCGUGUGAAGCUCCUUCGACGAGUCGAGUUGUUUGGGAAUGCAGCUCUAAGCGGGUGGUAAAUUUCAUCUAAAGCUAAAUACUGGCCGGAGACCGAUAGCGCACAAGUAGAGUGAUCGAAAGAUGAAAAGCACUUUGAAAAGAGAGUUAAACAGCACGUGAAAUUGUUGAAAGGGAAGCGUUGUCCACCAGACUCGCCCGGGGGGGUUCAGCCGGCACGUGUGCCGGUGUACUCCUCUCCGGGCGGGCCAGCAUCGGUUUGGGCGGCUGGUGAAAGGCCCCGGGAAUGUAACACCCUCCGGGGUGCCUUAUAGCCCGGGGUGCCAUACAGCCAGCCUGGACCGAGGCCCGCGCUUCGGCGAGGAUGCUGGCGUAAUGGUGGUCAACGGCCCGUCUUGAAACACGGACCAAGGAGUCUAACAUCUAUGCGAGUGUUCGGGUGUCAAACCCGUCCGCGCAGUGAAAGCGAACGGAGGUGGGAGCCCCUCGGGGUGCACCAUCGACCGAUCCUGAUGUCUUCGGAUGGAUUUGAGUAAGAGCAUAGCUGUUGGGACCCGAAAGAUGGUGAACUAUGCCUGAAUAGGGCGAAGCCAGAGGAAACUCUGGUGGAGGCUCGC